UAAUUAUUCUGACAACAGCCGAGGGGCUAGCUACCCCAAACUGAAUGAUAAAAGUGACUAGAACUAGUUGAUUCAUCACCACGGUCAUUUUCUGUGGAGUAUAUGGCUGCUCAAACGAGGCCGGAAACACAAAGGGGGGAAAAGAUGUUUACAGAUUCCACGCAAUCAUGAAACACCAUUUUGGCAAUACCAAUGAGAUAAGACUCAAGAACUCAGAGAAGCGAAGAAACCUUUUUGCCCGUCAAGACCUCAACCCAGACAGCUGUCAAUACAGGGUUUGCUACGAUCAUUUCAUCAUUGAUGGCCAAGGAAGUUGCAGAGAACUUCCCCAACAUCGCCUUCCAAAUUGAUAUGGAACCUUCAAAAACACAUGGAGCAACUGCGGAAAGAAAUGGCAGAGGAUAGACAAAAAAUGUCUGAGUUCAACAAAGUCAACAACUGCUUCAUGUGUGCCACUGAUAAAGAACCUGGAUGUGGCACAAAGACUGACUGGCGUUCCAACGGUGAUGUGCUGUGCCUAGGAAUGAAGACAAGAGUUCAACAGAGUAAAGAACACAAACUGGAAGUGCUGUCUUUGUUGUUAAAAAUUAGGUUCACCAGCUGACCUAUAUCAAGACACCCAUGUUGACUGGAUUCCCCUGUGAAGAUGAGUAAUGCUGCAGCAGCAUCAGUUUCUACUACUUCUUCAUCUUUUACCAGACAUGAAAGAAGACUCCCCACAGUUAUAUGACAUGGUUGUCAUAUGCUGUGCUUUGGACAAUUUGAAUGAUUCUGUUGUGUCAAUUGAGUAGAGCACCUUGUCAUGACAAAAGUGCCCCCUUAAACUGUAUGAAUAUAAUGUAUUUGGAACGUUUAAAAGACUUGUUGAUAUUGUAAACAUACUGUACUUUAAGCCAUGUUGUUGUCCAAGUGUAAAGACAAGUAUUUUGUCAUCUUUGCUUUGCCUAGCCCCAUUGAAUAAAAAGUAUUUCUUAUGGCCCAACUGUUGCCAUGUUCCUUGCUUUUCAGAAACGUGGUUCUGAAACCAGAUGCACCCCAUGGCUAUCCAACUCCAUGGAUUCUUCAUUCACCGGGCAGACAGGAUAGUGGCGUCGGCUAUCCAACUCGAUGGAUUCUUCAUUCACCGGGCAGACAGGAUAGUGGCGUCGGGGAGAGGCUGCCUUUCUGGUUCCGCUCAUUUUAAUUUGGCGUCACUAAAUCAAAAAGAUAUAUAAUUCACAUGCGCCAAAUACAACAGGUAUAGAUAGACCUUACAGUGAAAUGCUUACUUACAAGCCCUUAACCAACAAUGCAGUUAAGAAAAAUAAGUGUUAAAGUAUUUACUGAAAUAAACUGAAGAAAAUAAUGAAUUAAAAAAUUAAGGUGCAACAAUAAAAUAACAUUAGUCGAGGUAAUAUGUACAUGUAGGUAGAGGUAAAGUGACUAUGUUUGUAUAAUAAACAGAGUAGCAGAAAAGGUUUGUCAUGGGCUCUCAAAUCCUGAAACGGUUCUACAGCUGUACCUUUGAGAGCAUAUGGACUGGCUGCAUCACUGCUUGGUAUGGUAAUAGCAUCGCCCUCGAUCACAUGGCGCUACAGAGGGUUGUGCGAGCAGCCCAGUACAUCACUGAGGCCGAGCUCCCUGCCAUCCUGGACCUCCAUAUCAGGUGAAAGACCCCAACCACCCAAGCCAUAUAUUCUCUGCUGCAGCACAGCAAGAGCUUGAACAGCUUCUAUCCCCAAGCAAUACGACUGAUAAUUAGCUAACAGAAUUGCUACACGGACCAAGUUUACCUUGCAUCUUUAUUGACCUUUUAUUUCAGUGUUUUGCACCAUCUAUGCACACUCACAGGGCCCUACACACGGUCACUCCAAAACAAACACUCCAUUUUCUCACUCACACAUAAUAUGCACAUACAUUUAUACAAGCUGCUGUUACUCUGUUUAUCUUAUAUCCUGUUGCCUAAUCACCUUACCCCUAUACAUAUCUACCUCCAUCACCCCAGUAUCCCUGCACAUGUAAAUAUGGUAUUGGAACAAACUCUUUUAAUAUUUCCUGUAUAUAGUAUGUUUGUUUACUUUAUUGUGUAUUUCAUAUUUCUUGUGUGCUUUUUUCUAGAAAUACAUUUGAUUAUUGCAUUGUUGGUUUUUGAGUUUGCAUUAAUUAAAGGCAUUUUACUGCGCAUGUGA